CACCUCAGCACCUCAUUUUUUUUGAAGAAUAGUUUAGUUGUAUCCUUCCUAUUCUUUCUGGCCUCACAUUUCUUUCUCAAACACUGAGCCAUAUGUAUUCUUUUCUCAGAAUAAACUCUGGUGCCAGCUUAUAAAAUAAUACCCUUUUCAAUUUAUGAAAUUAUUUCUGUCUCAGCACAAAUCAUCCGAGGAAAGGUUUUAAGCUUAGGGUGGCAAGGAGAAAGAUAUAACGUCCAUAUUAGAAUGACGUGUGUGGCAAGUAGAGGGUAAACAGAGUAGGAAGGGGUUUCAGUGUCCCUAGAAUAUGCAUGUUACACAGCACAACACAGCUUAGACUUGUCCCUGCUCUCUGCAACCAUUCUCUAUUUUCCAUGUCUCCAUGAACACAAGUUCUUGAUUCCAAGUGUUUUUUUUUUUAAACCAAAAUUUUGGCCUUGCACAUUCUAUUUUAUUGCUGUUUCCAGAUUCCCAAAUUAUGCCUUUCAGAAUUACUUUUGUCACCACUUCUCUACCAGCUAAUAAUAUUUUCUCUAUAUAAAUUAUUGAAUUAAUGACUCAGGAUUAUAAUCGCCUGUGAAUUGUAUGGUAUUUAAUUUCUUUUCCAGCAGGUAAGAGUAGAAUAAAGAGAAUGUAAUAAGUUACAUGCAGUCACAAAAUGAGUCAUUAGAAUCAGAGACAGAAUUUGGACACUGAAGACACAAGUCCUGCUUCUCAGUAGUCCUGUUGGCUGCAUAAUAAUUUAACCUUCAUGCAAAACAGCUGAAUCAUACUGUUCUCUUCUGUGUCAUGCGUCCCAUUUAGACAGGCUUCCCUGCCUUGCCUUCUUCUUUGUAAUUCUUUUAUCUUUCUGUCUCUUUGUCUGUCUGGUUUAUGUAUUUAUCUAAAUAAUUUUUUUAAGUUUACAAAUAUUUCAGGAACUCUCUUACAUGGUGGUUGAAUGCUGAUCGUUUCAAAGGAGUUGAAAUGAUCCCACCCUAAAUAGCAAAGUACUACAAUAUUAUUCUUGCCUAGAAGCUGCCCAUGUGUAUUAAUUUAACUUAAGGUCAUUGUGGGUGCUUUUUAACUUUAGGUUACUUGAGCUAAAGAGACUUUUCUUGAAAGAAAGUUUGGCAAGAGGAAUUGGAGUAAUACUUAUUGGAACCUUCAGUAAUUGGGGAAAGGUAGGGAAGGAAGAACUGAAUUAGAAAAAAACCCACACUCAAAAUGUGCCAAACCAAGAUUUGAUUAAUUCAAAAGUUUACUUGGAGGUAUAUUUAUUUCUGAAUCUCAAUUUCUAUUUGUUAUAGUUCCAUGAAAAGUAUUAUCUAUCAAUAUAUGCCCUUAUUACUCAGGAAGCAAAUGGAAUGACUGGCUUUCAGAAGGUGAGAUCAGAGAGAACAUUCAAGAAGCGGUCUCUGAGACUUGAAUUCAAAUGCAAAAAUGUGAUUUGAGAGGAGCAGAGGAAAUACUGGCAGGGAAAUGGGCAAGAAAUAUAGCUGGAUCUUCUGUUACAAGAUUGAAUAAAAGUGGUAAGAGGGGCUAUCCUUGCUUUGUGCCCCGUCAUAGAAGAAAUGCAUCUAUUUUCUCAUCAUUUAAUGUGAUGU
rnacentral:lncRNA from 1 species